rnacentral:rRNA from 1 species
UACAGAGACUGCAAGCGUUAUUCGGAUUCACUGGGCGUAAAGGGUGCGCAGGCGGUUGGGUGUGUCAGAUGUGAAAUCCCGAGGCUUAACCUCGGAACUGCGUCUGAAACUACUCGACUAGAGUACUGGAGAGGGAAACGGAAUUCACGGUGUAGCAGUGAAAUGCGUAGAUAUCGUGAGGAACACCAGAGGCGAAGGCGGUUUCCUGGACAGUUACUGACGCUCAGGCACGAAAGCAUGGGGGAGCAAAAGGG